GGAUUGCCUCAGUAACGGCGAGUGAAGCGGCAAAAGCUCAAAUUUGAAAUCUGACUUUCGGGUCCGAGUUGUAAUUUGUAGAGGAUGUUUCGGGUAAAAUCUAGGCUUAAGUUCCUUGGAACAGGACGUCAUGGAGGGUGAGAAUCCCGUACGUGGCUCAUGAUCAAACCCAUGUGAAACUCCUUCGACGAGUCGAGUUGUUUGGGAAUGCAGCUCAAACUGGGUGGUAAAUUUCAUCUAAAGCUAAAUAUUGGCCAGAGACCGAUAGCGCACAAGUAGAGUGAUCGAAAGAUGAAAAGCACUUUGAAAAGAGAGUUAAAAAGCAUGUGAAAUUGUUGAAAGGGAAGCGCUUGCAACCAGACUUGUUUAUGGGGUUCAACCGUCGUUCUCGUCGGUGUAUUUCCUCAUUAUCAGGCCAGCAUCAGUUUUGGUGGAAGGUUAAAGGCCUCGGGAAUGUACCUUCCUCCGGGGAGACUUAUAGCCCUUGGUGAAAUGCUUCCUACCUAGACUGAGGUACGCGUUCGCUAGGAUGCUGGCGUAAUGGUUGUCAGCGACCCGUCUUGAAACACGGACCAAGGAGUCUAACAUCUAUGCGAGUAUUCGGGUGUUAAACCCCUAUGCGUAAUGAAAGUGAACGGAGGUGGGAACCUUUGGGUGCACCAUCGACCGAUCCUGAUGUCUUCGGAUGGAUUUGAGUAAGAGCAUAGCUGUUGGGACCCGAAAGAUGGUGAACUAUGCCUGAAUAGGGUGAAGCCAGAGGAAACUCUGGUGGAGGCUCGCAGCGGUUCUGACGUGCAAAUCGAUCGUCAAAUUUGGGUAUAGGGGCGAAUGUCUUUCGCUCAAGAUGACAUUAGUCCAUAGUGGCAAGGCUUGCGAUCUGCGGGGAUUAACAAUAGUUAUGCCCGCCCCUACAGUCACCGUAGGUCACAGAUCAAGUGCAGGUCGGCCUUUAUCAUUAUAGGGGUUCCAGAUAUGAUCGGAGGUCAAGUUCAAGCUUGAAACCCCAGUUUUGAAGACUAAUCGAACCAUCUGGUAGCUGGUUUCUGUCGAAGUUUCCCUCAGGAUAGCAGUAACGUUUUUCAGUUUUAUGAGGUAAAGCGAAUGAUUAGAGGCCUUGGGGUUGAAACAACCUUAACCUAUUCUCAAACUUUAAAUAUGUAAGAAGCUCUUGUUACUUAAUUGAACGUGAGCAUUUGAAUGUAUCGUUACUAGUGGGCCAUUUUU
rnacentral:rRNA from 1 species